UGAAACAGGCCCAAUAAUUUAGAACAAACAGAGAAAACACAAAUAGAAAAGUAAACGAAUACUUUUUGUACUUUGUCUGAACUCCAGAAGCUUCAUCAGCUUCUCAUGAACAUAUUUGUUUUGUCCGUGUACAAUUUCUGCCCUAGCAUUGCUUCAUUUUGCUAUAUUUAGAGCUUAUUCAGAGCUUAGUACGAAAAAAAAUUUUCGGAGAUACUUUCUUUGCUGUUCCAAAAUAGAUUCUUUGUUGUGUUCUUUCUCUGCUCCAAAAUGGUGAGUUAUAUUGGUGUCGAUCGAUAAAAAUAAGCAAUUUUUGGUUUAGGAUCUUCAAUAUCUGGAUGAGCUUUAACAUCUAUUAUCCCAUACGUUGUCUACCUCGAUUUUCCAAAUUUAAGGUCCACUGCAGAUUUCCUAGUUAAAUUUCUUCAAAAAGGCCUUGUUGCAAAUGUUGGUGAUCAUCUAGAGGCUUGUGGGUAAAUUUAUUUGAAGAAUCCAUCUAGGAGGUUUUGUGAAUGCUGAAAAGGAGCCAACUUUACAGUUGCUGGUUCGAACAUACCUGCCACUGCAUCAUCUGUUAGCCCUUUUUCAUUUGGGAUUCAAGUUGCUCAGUUUUUCAGGUUCAUGAAUUGGGUUUCCGAGAUUCACACAAAGAGUAAGUUUGAUUAUGUUUCUGAUUAUCAGUGCUCAUUUGAACACAUCAAAAUCCUAUAACCAGUGAGAUACAAUUUGAUUUUCUUUGCAUCCGGAAAAUAUGAUAAGUACAUAUGAUAAUGUAUUAUUGUAUAGUAGUGUCACAUACCUGAUGCACAAAAGAAGACUACUUUAGAAUAACAUAAUAGUUAAUAGAAUAGAGGCAUGAAAUGAUCGUGUCUCUGUGAUUGUGUUUUUAUCUCUUUUCAUUAAGGUUUAGAAUUCUCUUUUCAAAUUCUUGUUUGAUUCAUCAAUGAUUUUGUAUUUUUAGAACUUAAUAUUAGUUACUUUGAUAUUUUAUUAGUUUGUAUUCCAGUAAAAUUCAUCAAAAACAAACAGUGUAGGAUGUCAAAGUUUCAGUGAAAAUCCAUGGAGGAGGAAUACGUUAACAAAAUAAAUAGAUUCAUAUGGUGCAAAUACAAGUAUGGCAUGUUUCAUGGCUCUUUAUAAAUUGUCUAUAAACAAUUAAUUCUGUCAAAUUAUUGGGAAUUAAUUAAACUGUACAUUGCCGUAGUAAUUCUAAACUUCGCCGUACGCUAAAUACUUUUCAGGUUAGAUGUCCUUGAGUUAAUACAUAUCUUAAAUAUUAGGAUUUCGAUAAUUAAUGUGUAGCAGGUUGUGUAAUGAUCUACCAAUGAACAAAAAUAACAAACUAUAUUAAAAAAAUAUCAACAAAUUCCAAGAAAAAUGAAGUGGUGAAAUCUGGAAAUGGAGAUGGGACAACCCAUGAGGAUGUUGAUGAUGAAGCAGUGGAUUGUUUGUUGAAGAUUAAGGAUGCUGUUGAAUCACUUGAAACCUAAGUUUCUUAUUUGCAGGUCUCUUCUACUUCAAUUUUGAACCUUGAAUUUUCCCUUUUAUUGGUCUAGAUGUGUGAUUAUAAAAGAUUCAUGUGUUGCCGACUUUAAUUAAUUUUGAGGAGUGGUGGUUAAGUCUGUGUACAUUCUACCCUGUCUAUAUCCCACUUGUGGGAUUACAAUGGGUAAGUUGUUGUUGUAUGCAUCUGGCUUUCUAGCUAGCUCACUCGUAAAACAAGAAUGUGAAGUUGAUUUCUGAAUUAAAUGAUAUCUAAUGAAAGAUUAAAGAUUUGAUUUUGGUACUUCCAGGAUGAAACAACAUUUUGUACUCUUGCGGAGCAGAAAGGAAUCUUAAGCUAAAAAUAGUUUCAAAAAUUAUUCCUGACCAGAGAACUGUGAGUUACUGAUUAUGCAUCUAUAUUUUGCAUCAGCUGACUCCUUCAACAAUUAAAGAGUUUGUUUACUAAAACAAUAUGACCUUUUACUCGUGAAUAUGUCUGUGCAGCCUAUUUUGAAAAGAUUAUUGUGCCCGGAGAAGGAGUACUUAUCAUUUUUCAUUAUAUAAAAAAAUGGUUGAAGAUCAUUAGAUCUGGUUGGUGAAUAAAUAAUUUGGUUUUGCUUUCAUGAAUAUUUUUUGGAAAAAGUUCUACUAAGGUGACAUUUUAAUUAUCAUUUUGCAUUUUAAAGAUCUGCAAGGACAAUGUAAUACCCUGUGCUUUCAAAGUUUACUGUGGAACCUGUGAAUCAUUCCCCAAGUCGUGAGGACUCAUCACGAGUCGUAUGAUUUAGUUGUAAUCAGGACAGUGUGAUAUGACUAAAGUACUAUUUUGGGUAUGAAUCGACCCUAGGAGUUGUCACUUGAUGUUACGAGUCAUAUAAGAAGAGUCGUAAGAUCAACAAGGUAGGUCUUAUAAGUUUCUGUCCUGGUAACGAGAGGCUGCUACAAGUCGUAAUGACAUGUUACGAGUCAUAGGGUACGACUCAUAUCUAGAUCAUUGCAUACUUUCUUUGUUUCUGCCAAAGUUACGAGUCACUAGGUCAACUUAAAAGUACCAACCCAUGACUUAUAACUUAAGACGAGGCAUUAUUUUCCUCUACCUUUAGUCGAUUAACAACACUCUUUCUUCUCCUAUCCUCAAGAACAAGUAGUCUAGGGUUUUCUUAUACAAAAGACAUCUCUCCAGUCUCUAAAUUGAGGUUCUCUUCAUAAGUCAAGUAAAUCUAGGUAAGUGGGGUUUUCAACAAGGAUACUCUUUCAUCCUUGUGCCUGAAAAACUUAAUUUUUAAAGUUGAAUUUAUAUGUUUUUGUUAGUGUUCAUACCCAAGUUCUCAUAUUCUUGAAGUAUAACAUUACCGUGUGAUUGAAGGAUUUAAAUGUAUAAGAGUUUUCAUCUAAUCAUGUUUUGACUUGCAAGAUUGCUAUUGUAAUUUGAAUUUCAUUUGUUUGACUUGAAUUUUGCUGAAAGACUUCAAUGUAAGUAUUGAGCAUGAUAUUUUCCUGUAAGUUCUAUGAAAAGAAAAAAUGAAUUUCAAGGCUUAAGCAUAAGCACUGAGUUUACAAGAAACCUAAGUUUUAAGCUUCAGUUAUGUGUAUUUCAGCAAGAUUAAAGUUUAGCUUGAUCUUUUGAUACAAGAUAAUACAACUAAUCCACAAGUAUCCUUCUGAUUUUUAAUUAAGUAAAGAGAAGCAUAAGUGGUUUUCAGUCUAUAAACCCUUGUGCUAUUUUAAGGUGGAUUUCUUAAGUAUGAACCUAUAUUUAUAUUUUAAGGAGUAGUAUUUAGCAUCGAGAAGGGAAUGUGGAUGAGCGUAUCCUAAAUUCCUAGAAACUACGAGCCACCGUAGGUUUAAGAGGCCUCGUCAGCAAGUGUCUACUUUUCCCAAUAUGGAUAAAGUAUAAUGAUCACUUAAGUUAAUGUUCUAUUCUAAUGGCAAGGGUAGAAUAACUCUUCCUAACGUGGGCAAGACGUUGGACUCCAUGAUAGCUCACAUAGUUAUGUCAGUUAGAAGAAUCUCCCACUAGAAAGACUCAAAAGUAAAAAUUUCAGAAACCAAGUGUAAUGACUCACUAAGCUUAUUCAGUAUAUUCUAUUAUUCAUGUUUUAUGAUCAUAUAGUUUUUGGUUUUAUUCAAGCCCAAGGUGAGUCCUUUACACUUGUCAUGCAUGAUUUGAAAAUAUAUAUAGUUUAUUUUUUACUCAUGCAUUCACCCCCAUUCACCCCCAUACACUCAGUAUAUUCCAAAGUACUGGCCCACACAUAUAUGUCUAUAUGCUACAUUGUCUUAUAAUGUAGGUUUUGGUGCUCGUUUCUAGCAGCACGAUUGAUCAUGGGCAUCACUUCUAGCAUCUCGACAUUUGAGUAUGCCUCCUCGUCGAGCUAACGCCCGUAAAAAUGGUGAUCAACCAUCACUCUACACAUAUCCUCUCAAUGAAAAUAUCUCGCAAACAGAAUUUUGGGCUGCCUUUCAAGUGUUGGCCCAAGAUGUGAAUGCUAAUGUUCUGGAAACCAACAGAUAACAGUUCCACUUCAACAAAAUGGUAACUUAGCUACAACCAGGAUUCAAGAUAUAAGGAUGAAUCUAUUUGAGUUCCACGAGUCAAAGGUGGAUGAGGAUCAUCAACUAUUUAUUAACGAGGUAAGAAAGAUUACUCAGAUCAUGCAUAUUAUAGAAGAGGAGAGUGUGGAACUGUAAUCGUAUCGGUUGAAGGAUGCUGCUUAUGAUUGGGUCAUUAUGUGGAAGGAUGGUAGGGGUGAGAACGCUGCUUCUAUGAGUUGUCAGGUGUUUUAGCAUGCUUUUUUGGAUAUGUUCUUUCCUUAUAAGAUGAGGGAGGCCAAGGUGGAGGAGUUUAUGAACCCGAAGUAAGGUUCUAUGAUAGUGAAUGAAUGCUGCCUUAAGUUCACUUAACUAUAUGUCCAGAGUUGUCAUCUGACUGUAGAGCUUGUAUGAGCAAAUUUGUUAUUGGGGUAUCAGAUUUGGUGGUCAAAGAAUGUCGGGCUGCCAUGCUGAUCGGAGAUAUGGAUAUUGCUUGGUUGAUAAUGCAUGUGCAACAGAUUGAGGUAGAGAAGUUAAAGGAAUGAGAGAAGAGGAACAAAAGAGCUAGGACCAGAUAGUUUGAGUAUAAUCAAUAAAGGUCCAAAGGGGGAAGUCGUUCACAAUUUCAGGGUCACUCAUCAUUUCCUGCACCAUCCUCAGCCAGUGCCCCUGUACCUCGGACCAGGCAGGAACAGUGAGGCAGGACUUCGAGUUCCAGAUCUUAGAAUAGUAUGGUCAGGAGGCCUAGUUAUCAUAUAUGUGCAAAGUGUGAUAGGCACCUAUCCUGGUGAGUGUUUGUUGGGCAAAGGGGGUUACUAUGGUUUUGGCAAGUUGGGCCACAGGAUCAAGGAGUGUCCGUAUGCCAAGCAGGGAAGUAGGGAUAUUUAUCUUCAGACUCUGGCUAUCAGCAGCUCAACCAGGCUGCCCAGUCCCUUCGUAGGGUGCAUCAUCCAGCAUCGGUGGCAGUCAGCGCCAAAAUCAAUUCCAUGGUUUGCCUCACCAGAUGUUGUCACUAGUAUACGUCAUACCUUUUACCUUGAUAUGUAUGUGUUGUUAGACCUGGGAUCAAAUAUCUCGUAUGUAACUCCACCGGUUGCUGUAAAGUCUUGAAAAUCUUCCUAAGCCUUUCUUACUCUCUACCCUAGUGGGUGAGUUCGUUAUCGCUAGAUGGAUUUAUAGGGAGUGACCUAUUACUGUUCUCCAUAAAUUCACACUAGCAGAUUUAAUAGAGAUAGAAAUGGUAUAUUUUGACAUCAUUUUGGGCAUAGAUUGGCUCCAUUCAUGCUAUACAUUAAUAGAUUGUCGCACCCACGUGGUGAAGUUUCAGUUUCCUAAUAAGAUAGUUUUUGAGUGCGAGGGUAGUCUUUUGUCUCCCAAAGGUCAUUUCAUCUCUUAUCUUACGACCAGGAAGCUAAUAUCAAAAUGGUGUAUUUACCAUUUAGUUUGAGUAAAAGAUAUUAAGUCUGAAGCCCCAACAGUUCAAUCAGUCCAUGUAGUCAAUGAGUUUCAAGAGGUUUUUUCUAAAGAUCUGCCAGGAGUAACUCUAGAUAGAGAAAUAGAGUUCGGUAUUAAUUUUCUUCCUGAUACUCAGCCCAUUUCUAUCCCUUUAUAUCGCAUGGCUCCGACUGAACUUACAGAGUUAAAAGAGCAUCUUAAAGAUCUCUUAGAUAAGGUUUUCAUUAGACCUAGUGUUUCCCCGUGGGGCGCUCCACUUCUAUUCGUGCGUAAGAAAGAUGUCACUCUCAGAAUGUGUAUAGACUAUAGACAGCUAAACAAGGUUACCAUCAAGAAUAAGUACCCUAUUCCUAGAAUUGAUGAUCUAUUCGAUCAGUUUUAGGAUGCCUGAUAGUUUUCCAAGAUUGACCUUAGGUUAGGGUACCACCAGUUGAAAGUCAGGGAGCACGACAUUCUGAAAAUGGCUUUCUGAACAAGGUACAAUCAUUUUGAGCUCGUGGUUAUGUCGUUUGGACUAACAAAUGCUCCUGCAACCUUUAUGGAUUUAAUGAACAAGGUUUUUAAUCAAUACUUGGACUUGUUUGUCAUCGUAUUUAUAGAUGAUAUACUGGUAUAUUCUUGGAGUGAGAAAAAGCAUGCAAAUCAUUUUAGAGUAGUGCUGCAAACCCUUAAGGACUAUCAAUUAUAUGCGAAAUUUAGGAAGUGUGAAUUUUGGUUGGAGUCUGUUACCUUCUUGGGGCACAUCAAUUCAGGGGCUGGUAUUUAUAUGGACCCUCAAAAUACUAAUGUAGUGAAGCACUGGCCUAGACUCAUUAGUCCAUCCGCCAUCAGGAGCUUUUUGGGUUUGGUUGGGUACUAUAAAAGAUUUAUUGAAGGGUUUUCCUCCAUAGCCGCACCAUUGACUAAGCUGGCACAAAAUAAGAUAAAGUUUAUAUGAUCGGAUAAAUGUAAGAAGAGUUUCCAAGAAUUGAAGGAUAGAUUGACUUCAGCACCAGUGUUAGCCCUACCAGAGGGUUUAGAUGGAUUCGUGGUGUAUUGUCAUGCUUCUAGAGUUGGGUUAGGCUGUGUGUUUAUGCAAUUCGGUAGAGUAACAGCUUAUGCCUCCUAGUAACUUAAGGAUCACAAAAAGAACUACCCAACUUACGAUUUGGAGUUAGCUGUUGUGGUGUUUGCUUUGACGAUUUAGAGGCACUACUUUUAUGGUGUGCAUGUUGAUGUUUUCACUGACCACAAAAAUCUUCAGUAUGUAUUUUCUCAGAGGGAGCUAAAUCUUUAUCCAAGAAGGUGGUUAGAGUUAUUAAAAGAUUAUGGAAUAAAUGUGCUUUAUCAUCCAGGUAAGGCUAACAUAGUGGUGCACCCACUGAGUAGGAUAUCUAUGGGUAGUGUGUCUCACGUGAAAGAGGAAGAAUAGGAGUUGGCCAAAGAGGUGCAUAGGUUAACCCGUUUAAAAGUAUUUGCUCUACACGGAUGAUGGAGGAGUAGUGGUUCAGAACGGUUUAGAAUCAUCUUUGGUAGUGGAAGUAAAGGAGAAGCAGCGUAAUGAUCCCAUGCUUAGCCUAAUAGUGGAAGCAGUCCAGCAACAGAAGGUCGAGGUUUUCUCCCUAAGGGAAGAUGAUGUACUUCACUAUCAAGGUAGGCUUUAUGUUCCCAAUGUAGAUGGGUUGAGGGAAAAGAUACUAGCAAAGGCUCAUGGUUUGAAGUAUUCUCAGCCUUGUGCUACUAAGAUGUACCGUGAUUUGUGAGAAGUUUAUUGGUGGAAUGGUAUUAAAAAGGACAUAGCAGAGUUUGUAGCCAAGUGUCCCAAUUUCCAUCAAGUUAAAGUUGAACAACAGAGGUCCAGUGGUAUGCUACAUGAGAUUAGUAUCCCUACUUGGAAGUGGAAGGGUUGAAUAUGGAUUUUAUCAUAGGGUUGCCUCAUACUAGAUAUUAGCAUGAUGCAAUUUGGGUCAUAGUCGACCGAAUGACCAAAUCAACUUAUUUCCUACCUGUUAAGACUUCAGAUAUGGUAGAAGAUUAUUCCAAAAUAUACAUUCACGAGUUAGUAAAGCUUCAUGGGAUAACCUUAUUUGAUUAUUUCAGACAGAGGCAUGAAAUUCACUUCCCAAUGUUGGCAAUCAUUUCAGAAAGAACUUGGUACAAAGGUUAAGCUUAGUACUGCUUUUCAUCCGCAGACCGAUGGUUAGGCUGAAUGCACAAUUCAGACAUUGGAAGACAUACUAAGAGCAUGUAUUUUAGACUUUAAAGGAAGUUAGGAUGAUUGUUUACCUUUGAUCGAGUUUGCUUAUAAUAAUAGUUACUAUGCCAAUAUUCAAAUGGCUCUAUUUCAAGCAAUGUACAUGCAUAGGUGUAGAUUACCCAUAGGAUGGUUUAAGGUUGGUGAAGCCGCAUUGAUUGGUCUAGAAUCUAUUCUUGAAGCUAUGGAAAAGGUUUAGUUGAUUCGUGAAAGACUAAAAACUGCUCAGAGCCAUCAGAAAUCAUAUGCAGAUGUAAGAAGGAGAGAGCUUAAGUUUGAAGUAGCUGAUUGGGUAUUCUUGAAGGUGUCUCUUAUGAAAACGAUAAUGAGAUUUUGAAUAAGAGAAAGCUGAGUCCCUGAUUUGUUGGUCCGUGUGAUAUUGUAAAAUAUGUAGGAGAGGUCACUUAUGAAUUGGACCUUUCUCUAGAGUUAGCUUCGAUUUACCCAGUUUUCCAUGUUUUGAUGCUUAAGAAAUAUAUUGGGAAUCCGUCCUUAGUAGUUCCCCUAUAGAGUAUUGGGGUCAAAGAUAGAUUAUCGCAUGAAGAGAUUCUUGUCGAGAUACUUGAUAGGCAAGUUUGAAGACUAAGGAAUAAGGAUGUAGCGUCAAUAAAUAUUCUUUGGAGGAACCAGUUGGUCAAAGGGGCCACUUGGGAAACUUAAGUAGACAUGAUGACUAUGUACCCUCAUCUCUUUUCUUUCGAUUCAUUUCCUACCGAAGGUAAAUUGCUAUUUCCAAAAAAUUCUUUCUCCUUAAGUUUGUUUAAGUAUUCCUUUAUCGUAUCAUGUGUUUGUGGGGCUUGAAAUCCCAGUGCUAAGUUAUAAGCUUAAUUGUAAGAUCAGUAUGGGGGGGGGGGUCGAUUCUGUUACAAGAUUCCUAUUUAAAUUUAUUCUCAUUUGAGGACGAAUGUUUCAAGGGGGAGAUAUUGUAAUACCUUGUGCUUUCAAAGUUUACCAUGGAACCUAUGACUCAUUCGCCAAGUCCUGAGGACUCAUCACGAGUCAUAUGAUAUAGUCGUAACCAGGAUAGUGUGAUAUGACUAAAGUACUCUUUUGGAUAUGAAUCGACCCCAAGAGUCGUCACUUGAUGUUAUGAGUCGUAUAAGGAGAGUCGUAAGAUUAGUAGGAUAGGUCCUCUAAGUUUCUGUCCAGGUUACGAGAGGUUGCUACAAGUCGUAGUGACAUGUUGCAAUUCAUAAGCUAUGACUCGUAUCCAUACCAGUGCAAACUUUCUUUGUUUUUGCCAAGGUUAUGAGUUACUAGGUUAACUCGUAACCAGAUAUUAUAAGUCGUGAGAUGACUCAUGCCGACCGACGGAGAAGUUGGCAUUUUGGGCUUUUACCCUCUUAUAACUUCCAACCCACGACUUAUAACUUAAGAAGUGGCAUUAUUUUUCUCUACCUUUAGUCGAUUGACAACACUCUUUAUCCUCCCAUCCUCAAGAACAACAAGGCUAGGGUUUUCUCUCAUAAAAGAUAUCUCUCUAAUCUUUAAGUUCAGGUUCUCUUCACAAGUCAAGUAAAUUCAGGUAUGUGGGAUUUUGAACAAGGAUACUCUUUCAUCCUUGUGUGUGAAAAAUUUGAUCUUUAAAGUUGAAUUUAUAUGUUUUAGUUAGGGUUCAUGUAAUA